UACGGAGGGUGCGAGCGUUAUCCGGAUUCACUGGGUUUAAAGGGUGCGUAGGUGGGUUGGUAAGUCAGUGGUGAAAUCUCCGUGCUUAACACGGAAGCUGCCAUUGAUACUACUGAUCUUGAAUUUUCUGGAGGUAGGCGGAAUAUGUCAUGUAGCGGUGAAAUGCUUAGAUAUGACAUAGAACACCAAUUGCGAAGGCAGCUUACUCCAGGGACAUUGACACUGAUGCACGAAAGCGUGGGGAUCAAACAGG
rnacentral:rRNA from 1 species